rnacentral:rRNA from 1 species
UACGUAGGGUGCGAGCGUUGUCCGGAAUUAUUGGGCGUAAAGAGCUCGUAGGCGGUUUGUCGCGUCUGCUGUGAAAACUCAGGGCUUAACUCUGAGCUUGCAGUGGGUACGGGCAGACUAGAGUGCGGUAGGGGAGACUGGAAUUCCUGGUGUAGCGGUGAAAUGCGCAGAUAUCAGGAGGAACACCGGUGGCGAAGGCGGGUCUCUGGGCCGUAACUGACGCUGGAG